AUCCUUGGUUGGUGAAUGCAGCUCCAGAGUGAGGAUAACAUCACAUAAUUAAAAUGGUAAAGCAUGCCACACAGCAGCCCAAGCUUGGGUAAUGUUCAUCUUUGGAUGUUGUCUUCACUAUCCUCUUUCUGGUCGGGCUGUUGAACUGAAGAACUUAGCCUGGGUUUUCUGAUAUUUUUUUGUCACAGCCCUGCAAGUCUUGACACAUGCUGGCUCCAGGGUCUCUCCAGUCUGGCACAGCACUGGAAGGCAAUACUAACUGGAGGAGGAAUAGCUAUUGAAUGAGGAGGAAAAGAAAAUUACUUCCCAUUUUUUACAUGGUCUUGAGAAAUUGGCUGAGAUAUUGAUUUAUGGGAACAGUGGUAGACAUGAGCAGAUCAAGGUUAUUGGCAAUGUGAAAGAGUGACUGCUUGGAAGGAGCCAUCAGAGACUGGAAGGGGAACAGGCUGGAUUGUAACACCGUAAAAUGAAUUUGUUAAAUCAUAUGAUAGUCUACCUGAGGUGACAUCUGUUCCCAGAACAGUAAACUGUGGAUAAAAGAAGAAAGCGGAAGGACAAAUGGGAUCAGGCUUACUAUCAUUCAUUCCACCCAGCAGGUGCCAUCUCCAUUUAACUGCAUAGAGUUGCACAGGAAAUAAUAUUAUUUGCUUCUUUAGGCCUCAGUUCAGCAAAGUACUUGAGCACAUCCUUAACUCCAAAAGAGUCCCAGUUCUAGGCAAAGAACUUAGACAUGUAAGUAUGGGAUAUAGUUGUGUUUCCUGAGUAGACAUGAAGUUGGGUCUCAGGUUCUUUUCAUUUCAGUUCAAUGCAUUCAAAGCACUUAUGUUCCUUUGUAUCUUUCCAGCUUGUUUUAAUGUUAAUACCUGUUUGCUCUCUUAUUUCAGAGCUGUCAACUGUCCCAAACUGACCAUCCAUACUAAACCAAACCAAAACCCAACUGAAUAACAAUUUUAUGAAGGAACAGAGUUUUCUGUGUCUCUUCUAGCCUUAUGUGUCUGGGGAGGUCAGUUUCUUUUUCUAUUCUUUUUUUUUCUCCUGUAUUCUCAUUGGCUACUCUAAUUGGCUCCUCCAAUUGGUUGCUCUAAUUGGAGAAGUACACGAAUUUGCAACUGCUGCAUGAACACUCAGGAACAGUGUAAAACGUUCAGGUUUCCAACCAAUCUGGUUGUGUCUGGCCAUAGCUGUGCUUCAAUCCUGAAUUAAUGUUGUUUCUAAAUUAAUUUUAAAACUUUAUUAUUGCUUUUCUUAAGUUUUCCUCUGUUUUUGCUGUUACUGGAACUUCUAAAUUUCUUGUUUCUUCAUAAUGCUAUUAAUAUCAUUAUCAGAAAUAAAUAUUGAGCAAGCAU
rnacentral:lncRNA from 7 species